rnacentral:rRNA from 1 species
GUGGGGAAUAUUGGACAAUGGGGGGAACCCUGAUCCAGCCAUGCAGCGUGUGUGAAGAAGGCCUUUUGGUUGUAAAGCACUUUAAGCGAGGAGGAGGCUACCGAGAUUAAUACUCUUGGAUAGUGGACGUUACUCGCAGAAUAAGCACCGGCUAACUCUGUGCCAGCAGCCGCGGUAAUACAGAGGGUGCAAGCGUUAAUCGGAUUUACUGGGCGUAAAGCGCGCGUAGGUGGCCAAUUAAGUCAAAUGUGAAAUCCCCGAGCUUAACUUGGGAAUUGCAUUCGAUACUGGUUGGCUAGAGUAUGGGAGAGGAUGGUAGAAUUCCAGGUGUAGCGGUGAAAUGCGUAGAGAUCUGGAGGAAUACCGAUGGCGAAGGCAGCCAUCUGGCCUAAUACUGACACUGAGGUGCGAAAGCAUGGGGAGCAAACAGGAUUAGAAACCCCUGUAGUCC